AGCACUUGCAGCCAUGGAUCUGCUCUCCCCGGGCCCAGGAGAGGAGCCGAGCUGUGAGAGCCAGCGCCCGGCUCUUCAUGUUCUACCGCUUCAAAGCCAUCACCGAGGACCUGAAACCCAUGGUAGAGCAGGGCUACAUGGCCGGGCUGCUGACAAGCCAGGCCUUCGAUGCUCAGGAGGCCACCAGAUACUGGGCAUCUCAGGCUCUCUACUGGCUCUUCACGCCUUGCAAAGCUGUCGUGUACACCAAGACAGGGGCAGUGGUGAGCGUGCUGAGCAAGACGCAGAAGGAUGCCAGCUGCAGAGAGAACCCUGUCCAUGUUGCUAUGCUCAUCGCGAAGCACCUGCAGUCGAGUGACCUCAUGCCCUUCAGCUUCACCCUGCUGGUGGGCCUGCUGGAGAAGGAGGAGUGUGCAGACCAGCUGGCGGGCGUCAUGGAGGCGGUGCUGAGAGAGCAAGAAUCAGAGCUGCAGGGCCAAGUGCAGGAUCUCCAGGCGGCUCUUUCCUACACACUGAGCCCACCCCGGGGGGGGCGGCUGAGUGAGGGGACGAGAGACAUUCUCCACCUACUGGCCAGACAACACACCAAGGCCGCGGUCAGCAUCCUCCUGAAGAUGCCCUGGCCUUACAAACGGUGAGCGCCGGCCCCAGGGAAAGGAUAGAACACCCCACUCCGGCCUCCAAGCCCCGCCUUAAUGGGAUCACUCCACAGCACCAUGGUUACAUGCAGCACAGCCCCUCCCCUUGCACACAGGCCCCCAGGGAACAGCCCUGCCCCGGCAUAGCCUCCCUGUCCCUUGGAGGGCUCCGUGUGCUCUGGGACCCCCGGCUCAGGGCUCCCCCAGCUGAGCUAUUCCUAACACAGCUGUCACCCUCCCCCACUUCGUUCUGUGCACUGCUAACCAGUCCACCCCAUCCCG
rnacentral:lncRNA from 1 species